rnacentral:rRNA from 1 species
GACGAACGCUGGCGGCGUGCUUAACACAUGCAAGUCGAACGGAAAGGCCCUGCUUUUGUGGGGUGCUCGAGUGGCGAACGGGUGAGUAACACGUGAGUAACCUGCCCUUGACUUUGGGAUAACUUCACGAAACUGGGGCUAAUACCGGAUAGGAUCUACUGCUCCGUGGUGGGGGUUGGAAAGAUUCGGCGGUUGGGGAUGGACUCGCUGCUUAUCCGCUUGUUGGGCGGGUAGUGGCUGACCAAGGCUUUGACGGGUAGCCGGCCUGGGAGGGUGGACGGGCACAAUGGGACUGCGAGACGGACCAGACUCCUACGGGAGGCAGCAGGGGGGAAUAUUGCACAAUGGGCCGAAGCCUGAUGCAGCAGCGCCGCGUGCGGGAUGACGGCCUUCGGGGUGUAAACAGCUUUCGAAUGUGACGAAGCGUGAGUGACGGUAAUGGGUAAAGAAGCACCGGCUAACUACGUG